UACGGGGGGAGCAAGCGUUGUUCGGAUUUACUGGGCGUAAAGGGCGCGUAGGCGGCCACCGCAAGUCGACUGUGAAAUCUCCGGGCUUAACCCGGAAAGGUCAGCCGAUACUGCGGGGCUAGAGUGCAGAAGGGGCAACUGGAAUUCUCGGUGUAGCGGUGAAAUGCGUAGAUAUCGAGAGGAGCACCUGCGGCGAAGGCGGGUUGCUGGGCUGACACUGACGCUGAGGCGCGAAAGCUAGGGGAGCGAACGGG
rnacentral:rRNA from 1 species